rnacentral:lncRNA from 1 species
AAGGCAGUGCUUGUCAUCAGUGGAGCAAACUCAAGAAAAGCAGGCCGGCAUUUCUGCCUACUUGCCCAAACUGAAUCUGCUCAUGUUUUUCAUGCUACAAAAAAGAUGACUACUAGUACUACAUUCUACUGUAAAGAGCUGAGGAGAGCUAGUAAUGCAAAGCUAGCAGUACAACUUUUUGGGCCUUCUAGGUGCUAUGCAUGCAUUUGUUUUUGAGGU